CGUAUACGGCAGGGUGCAAGCGUUAAUCGGAAUUACUGGGCGUACAGCGCACGCAGGCGGUCUGUUAAGUCAGAUGUGAAAUCCCCGGGCUUAACCUUGGGAACUGCAUUUGAAACUGGCAGGCUUGAGUCUCGUAGAGGGGGGUAGAAUUCCAGGUGUAGCGGUGAAAUGCGUAUAGAUCUGGAGGAAUACCGGUGGCGAAGGCGGCCCCCUGGACGAAGACUGACGCUCAGGUGCGAAAGCGUGGGGAGCAAACAGGAUUAGAUACCCUGGUAGUCCACGCCGUAAACGAUGUCGACUUGGAGGCUGUUUCCUUGAGGAGUGGCUUCCGGAGCUAACGCGUUAAGUCGACCGCCUGGGGAGUACGGCCGCAAGGUUAAAACUCAGAUGAAUUGACGGGGGCCCGCACAAGCGGUGGAGCAUGUGGUUUAAUUCGAUGCAACGCGAAGAACCUUACCUGGUCUUGACAUCCACGGAAUUCGGCAGAGAUGCCCUAGUGCCUUCGGGAACCGUGAGACAGGUGCUGGAUGGCUGUCGUCAGCUCGUGUUGUGAAAUGUUGGGUUAAGUCCCGCAACGAGCGCAACCCUUAUUCUUUGUUGCCAGCGCGUGAUGGCGGGAACUCAGAGGAUACUGCCGGUGAUAAACCGGAGGAAGGUGGUGAUGACGUCAAGUCAUCAUGGCCCUUACGACCAGGGCUACACACGUGCUACAAUGGCGCAUACAAAGAGAAGCGACCUCGCGAGAGCAAGCGGACCUCAUAAAGUGCGUCGUAGUCCGGAUUGUAGUCUGCAACUCGACUCCCUGAAGUCGGAAUCGCUAGUACUCGUGGAUCCAUAAUGCCACGGUGAAUACGUUCCCGGGCCUUGUACCACACCGCCCGUCCACAUCGAUGGGGAGUGGGUUGCCAAAAGAAGUAGCAUUAGAUCAUCCUCCGGGAGGGCGCUUACUACUCUGUUAUCAUGACUGGGGAUGGAGUCCUACUAGACGCGUAUAAAAUAAAAAA
rnacentral:rRNA from 1 species